rnacentral:misc_RNA from 1 species
ACUGAUAGAUGACAAUCAUAUAAUCUGUGCCAUGAAAAAAAAAUACAGAAAAUAACAAGGUGUUUUGUUUUGCAACCUAUAUUUUGACUGAAUUUUGUAAUUUUCUCUCAAGUUUUAUUUUGAAACUACUAUUAAAUACGAUAUUACAUUAUCAUACGUUACAUUUUCAUUAAAUUCAUUAUCUUCAUUUUGAAGUAGACAGAAGUAAAAGUUCUAUGUUAUAAAACUUACAUCGUAGCAAUGGUUUGUGAAAAAUGCGAGAAAAAACUGGGCCGAGUAAUCACACCAGACCCUUGGAAAGCCGGCGCGAGGAAUACAGUUGAAUCUGGCGGGCGCAAAGUUGGCGAAAAUAAAGCGCUGACAGCAAAAAAAGGUCGAUUUAACCCAUACACAUCCAAAUUUCAAGAGUGUAGAAUAUGCAGAACCAAAGUACACCAAGUGGGCUCUCACUACUGCCAGGCGUGUGCUUACAAGAAGGGAAUCUGUGCAAUGUGCGGAAAAAAAAUAUUAGAUACUAAGAAUUACAGGCAAAGCUCUACUUAGAGUAAUUAUUUAAAUAAUAUUAAUAUUCUGUGGGCUAGGCAUGAGUUGUUAAAACUUAAUUUAUACUGUUGAGAAUAAUGCAAAGGAAAUGGACAUAGGUUUACAUUUUAGUUUUUAUAUGUUACCAAAAUAGAGGUCAUUGAUUAACUUUGUAUUGUAAAGUUAGUGUCCUCAAAUGUAAAACAAUUAACUUAUUUUGGCAUAUCAUGCACAAUGGCCAACUUGCUGCAGGCUAAGAGAGGAAAAAGCAGCUCCUCAACAUAGAACAUAGUUAUGUAUGGUGUUACUAGUUAACACAAUGGUAUCACUCACAUAUUCUUAGUCAGAAUCGCUGACAAGUUUCUAACUUAAGUCAUCUUCAUGGGCGAGUGCUGAAGGAUGUAGAGUAGCCGAGGCCUUUCAAUCACAAGAUUAUGUGAGUGAAACUGUUGUGUUAUCUAGUAUUAUUUUUUAUUACUUUGAAUGACGAGAUGAGCUUACCGUGCGCCUGAUGGCAAGCAAUAUGACUGUCCAUAAACAGUAGAAACACCAUCCUAUGAUAAUUUAAUAUGUCUUGUGUAACUUUUAAUAUUAUUACUUAUAUUUGUUGUGAUUUCGAGGUUAAUAAUUUUAGUAAACUUAAGUAGAAAUGUUUGAUUAUUGUUAGAAUUAAUGCAAUAACUGUCUUAUAGAAUUGUAUCAAAUGAAUAGAAAAAAGUGUGUUCAUAACACUUGAUAAUUACUUAUUACACUGUCUUUUAUAUCCAUUUGAUUUACAGUCCUUUCACACUCCUUAGUAGCAAAGAAACAAUGUUAUGGUCAGAGGAGCCUUAUUUAAUCUAUGGAGGCUAACAAUCUUCUUACAAUUAUGGACAUUUUAAGUCAGCUUUGAUAGCUGUAUAGGUAAAUAAGGGAUUUUUUUACUCUUUUACUUAUAAUAUAUUAAAGCUACCCUUCAAGUAAAGUGCUCAUAGUUGUAAAAAGCUAGAUAAGCCCCCAUAGACGUAAUGGGCACUCUGAGUCUAUAAUAUCUGACCGACUUGCUAACAAGAGAUUUACUAAAGCCAUUAUCAAUUUAUAGUACCUAUAGUGACGUUUUUAUAUUCUUUUCCAUUAAUUUUUCAAUUAAAACCACCACACACGCCUGAUAACAACAUUUGUUGUACAACAAUAUUGUUUACGUCAAAACAUAGAAAAAUUAUUUUGAACAUGUGAAAUGUCAGUGAUAUUAGUUCUAUAUAGUUUCAUGUCAUUUACUGUACUUACAGCUUCGUAUAACAUUUAUUCACGUAAAAAAGAUGGCGGAAAUCCAUACUCAUCUCUACUGUAUGAUAUAGUGAAAAAGAAUGAGAAUAGAGUGAAUGAUUUGAAGAAGACCAUGCAGUUGCAAGAUUACAUCGUCAGUAGAGGCCAUUCGCUCCCCGGCGAUGACUAUGAAAGGGAUGAUUAUGACGACGAGCCUUAUAUUUCUGGACAUAAAUACGGCAUACGAAGAUUCGACGGCCUUACCGACGAAAGUAAACUAGAAGAUUCGAGAAGGAAUUGGAUGGGACCCUGUGUCAAAAAAGCUGCUAGAAUUUGCAGGACAGCAUGCAUUAACGCAGCAAAAGAUGUUUGUACAACUUAUUCUUGCAGUAGUAGAGUGAAGAGAAGAUUUAGGAAGGAAUGUCGACGAAACUGCAACUCGGAGUUCGAAGUUAACAAGUAUUAUAGUGAUUAUGAUUCUGAUUAAAUAUUUAUUUCGA